AACAAACGCUGGCGGCGUGCCUAAUACAUGCAAGUCGAACGGGGAAAGCUUUCGGGUGAGUACUAGUGGCGCACGGGUGAGUAACGCGUGGAUAAUCUGCCUUAGAGUGGGGGAUAACUAGUCGAAAGAUUAGCUAAUACCGCAUAAGACCACAAGAACUGCGGUUCAAGAGGUCAAAGGUUUUUCGCUCUAAGACGAGUCCGCGUAAGAUUAGCUAGUUGGUGAGGUAACGGCUCACCAAGGCAACGAUCUUUAACUGGUCUGAGAGGAUGAUCAGUCACACUGGAACUGAGACACGGUCCAGACUCCUACGGGAGGCAGCAGUAGGGAAUAUUGCACAAUGGAGGAAACUCCGAUGCAGCGACGCCGCGUGAGUGAUGAAGGCCUUCGGGUCGUAAAGCUCUGUCGCAGGGGAAUAACACAAUGAAUGUACCCUGUAAGAAAGGAUCGGCUAACUUCGUGCCAGCCGCCGCCGUAAAAC
rnacentral:rRNA from 1 species